UACAGAGGUCUCAAGCGUUGUUCGGAUUCAUUGGGCGUAAAGGGCUCGUAGGCGGCCAACUAAGUCAUACGUGAAAUCCCUCGGCUUAACCGGGGAACUGCGUCUGAUACUGGAUGGCUUGAGUUCGGGAGAGGGAUGCGGAAUUCCAGGUGUAGCGGUGAAAUGCGUAGAUAUCUGGAGGAACACCGGUGGCGAAGGCGGCAUCCUGGACCGAUACUGACGCUGAGGAGCGAAAGCGUGGGGAGCAAACAGG
rnacentral:rRNA from 1 species